UACGUAGGGCGCAAGCGUUAUCCGGAAUUAUUGGGCGUAAAGAGCUCGUAGGCGGUUUGUCGCGUCUGCCGUGAAAGUCCGGGGCUCAACUCCGGAUCUGCGGUGGGUACGGGCAGACUAGAGUGAUGUAGGGGAGACUGGAAUUCCUGGUGUAGGCGGUGAAAUGCGCAGAUAUCAGGAGGAACACCGAUGGCGAAGGCGGGUCUCUAGGCCGAUACUGACGCUGAGGAGCGAAAGCGUGGGGAGCGAACAG
rnacentral:rRNA from 1 species